rnacentral:rRNA from 1 species
GAUGAACGCUGGCGGCGUGCCUAAUACAUGCAAGUCGAGCGAAGCGGGGAAGGGUGAGUAAAACGUGGAUAACCUCCUAUAAGACUGGGGUAACUUCGGGAAACCGGAGCUAAACCGGAUACGUAUAGAUGGAUCCGAGCUGAAUUAGCUAGUGGGUAAGGUAACGGCUUACCAAGGCAAAGAGGCAUAGCCGACCUGAGAGGUUGAGCGGCCCCACCGGAACUGAGACACGGUCCAGACGCCUACGGGAGGCAGCAGUAGGGAAUCUGCCGCAAUGGGCGAAAGCCUGACGGAGCAACGCCGCGUGUGUGAUGAAGGUCUUCGGAUCGUAAAACUCUGUUAUUAGUGAAGCGGUACCUAAUCAGAAAGCCACGGCUAACUACGUGCCAGCAGCCGCGGUAAUUC